UGUGAAAAUCUUUUUAUUUCUCAUGUGUAUAUCCCUAUAAAUGGAAUUGCUGGGCCAUAUGAUAACUCUGUGUUUCAUCUUUAGGAACUACAACAGAGUUUUCAAAGUGGUUGUACUAUUUUAUGUGUCACAAGUUUACGCAUCCAUAGACUUGUUUAUUUUUUGUUUUUUUUUUAUUGUAUUUUAGCUAUUCUAGUAGGUAUGAAGUGGUGUCAAGGGGUGAUGUUUUUUAAGUAGAACAACUUUGUGCUACCAUGCUUCAUAAAUUAGUUAAAUGCAUCUCUCUCAUUUAUUUACUUUUCCAUUGCUUUUAAUCUGUAAGUAAAUAUACCUCUUCUCUCAAUCAGUGUUGCCAUUUUUCCUUACUAAUUUUCAGUCAGGCCCAACUCAGAGCAUACGACGUCAAAACUGAAGAUGGUGGUGAACUUAGGUGUCUUAUAGAACAUGUAGCGAUGAAAAGGGGAGAACGCUGAAAACAUAGUUUGAUUAUAAGAUUGAAUCUCCAAAUUCCUGGUAUAAUUUAUAGUUCAUCUUGCUUUAUGUGAACUGAAAAGUAGUUACAAAAGUGAUGCAUGCUGUGAGGCUUAGUUGUAUUGUAGUGCCUGCUUAAAAGACAUUCUUACUUUUUCAUUCAGUAUAACUCUUCUCAUCAGGUCUAAUAUGCCAUCAGUUCUAUCACUAGAAAGAAAAUGAAUGUUGCCAAUUAAUCAAUGGUGACACACCAUUGAUUUCAGAGUGGCCUAUAAUCUGAAAUAUUAAAAUGUAUAUCAGAAUUAUUGAAAUACUAUAGAAAGGGAAUUGUGUUUCUUCACUUGUGGGUUUUUUUUUUUCUUUUUUGGAGGCAAACCAGUCAUCUGUGCUUAACAAUACUCAGGGGAGAAAACAAGAGUUUUAAUACCAAAGAUAUGAUAAAUAACUUUAUAAAUGUGCAUUAAUAUCUAGCAGUAUAAAAAUGAUAUAUGAUACAUACAUGCACAUAUAUACAGGUAAAGAGGAGUUAGUUAUCGACUUAUUCUUUCCUAGUUCAAGAAUAUUAGACGAGCAUCCCAUAGUUCACUGAAGUGAUUCAUUUCCCUCUCCUCUUCAAUUUUCUAAUUAAAAAGAGCUGAUUUAUCUCAAAUUUAAUUUAUUAAAGAUGCUAAGCCAUCUUUUCCACCUCAGAAUAUUUUUUCUUGUUUAUUUCAAAAGCUAACUUCAGCAGGGGACCCACAGACCUGUGGAAGUCUGUGCUGACAGUGCAGUAGCAAGCCAGCACCAUGGGUCUACCAAGCAGCUAGGUUUUGUCUCAGCAAAUGUGCUUUGUAUGUUAUUCAAAAUAAAGUAUUAUUUCUUAAUGCCCUGGAUUCCAGUUGCAGUUGUAGGUAAAGUGCUAAAAUAUCUGCUGUGGUGUAUGCCAUCAGGAAUCAAAAUGAUUUCAAAACAGUGUUCAAAAGGGCUGAAUAAGCCAGGUCAAAGACUUCCUGAAAAAGCCUCUUCCUAAAGUAGGCAUUUGGCACUGCGUCCUUUAAUGAGCUCAGGCAGCUUUUGGUUUGUUUGAAUGGCGAUCUCAUAUUCUUUUGAUAAUAAUUGUAUUGGUGCUUUGACGUAUUGAUGAAAGUUUAAAGAAUUCCUAGUUUUCCCUAGUUCUAAGUCACUGUGUCAUAGUUUUUCACUGUGAAAUUCUUUGGAAAUUAUAGUUAAUAUAUGGAACAUAAUUAGGAGCUCAUGGAGCAGAUAAUUGCUUAUAUUAGAGUAGGUAAAAUAUGUGGUCUCGUGGACAGUUUGAUGCCAGGAAGGAUCAAAAUUAGAGAUACUUUUUGAUGUCUAACAAUAAGCACUAAAAGGAAGUGAUUUUCAUUUCAUGGUGGAAAAAUGAGAUAAAAUAGAAUUAUCUUUAAUUUUAGUAUGUAUUACAAAUUAUGACCUAAACAUAGUAUUUUUAAAGAAAAUAGGGACUUUUUAAAAUGACAUUUGCAUAUUUGAGAUUAUGUUGCUAAGUCAGAUUCUUGCAUGAUGUACAGAGACAAGGUAGUUUCUGCAUUUUUCAGUAAAAUAUGAAAAUUAUAUUUUUACAGAUGGAUUGUAACAAGAGAAGAAUGUGGAUUUGUUUUUGUCAUAUUAGCAUGUUCAGGUUGAGUGCCGGAAUUGUUCAUCUUUACUUUUAAGUGGUCUAACAGUUUGCUUGUUGUAUUCCAACACAACUGCCUUCUUUUAGCCAUAGAACAUAGUUAAUAAAUUUGCAUACUGAAAUAUUUAAUAUGCAAGUAAUAUUGAAUAUAUCUCAAACAGUUGCCAAAGUUAUAAGACAUGAUGUAUAGUAUAUAUCACAGUCUGUAAUAGAUUGCAUUCAACACUGAAUUUCAUUGGUAAAUGUAGUGAUCACUCCUUCAGAAUCGUUGAUUUGUACCUUCAUUCAAAAAUAAUUAUUGCGUACUUAAU